GUGGGGAAUCUUCCGCAAUGGGCGAAAGCCUGACGGAGCAACGCCGCGUGAGUGAAGAAGGCCUUCGGGUCGUAAAGCUCUGUCUUUAGGGACGAACCGCGUAUGGAGUAAUAUGCCAUACGUCUGACGGUACCUAAGGAGGAAGCUCCGGCUAACUACGUGCCAGCAGCCGCGGUAAUACGUAGGGAGCGAGCGUUGUCCGGAAUUACUGGGCGUAAAGGGCGCGUAGGCGGAGGUUUAAGUAGGGUGUGAAAACUAUGGGCUCAACCGAUAGACUGCAUCCUAAACUGGGCGUCUUGAGGGCAGGAGAGGAAAGUGGAAUUCCUAGUGUAGCGGUGAAAUGCGUAGAUAUUAGGAGGAACACCAGUGGCGAAGGCGACUUUCUGGACUGUACCUGACGCUGAGGCGCGAAAGCGUGGGGAGCGAACAGGAUUAGAUACCCCAGUAGUCC
rnacentral:rRNA from 1 species